rnacentral:lncRNA from 1 species
UGGGUAAUCCAAGCCUCGGCAGGUACAGUUCCUCCCUCAGGGCCCAGGACACAGUGAGCAUACAAUAGACAUUAGCUGCUGUGGUGUCUUGAUUUCAAGCCCAGUGCAGUUGCAUCUGACUUACGAAACUUCAGUGACACCUGCUCUGUGCCAGACACUGAAGAUGGAGCAGUGAACAGCACUGACCCAGCCUGUCCUCCUGUUGCCUGCAGGCCAGAUGCCGUUCCAUUGUUUGCUGACUUGCAUUGAUUCUAUGAGAAGUCUGCAGUCUUUUGCAGCAUUGUUUUCCUAUGUAUAAUUGUCUCCUCCCACCCCACUCACCCCAGCUGCUUUCCACAUUCUCUCUCUUUGAUUUUCAGCAGUCUGCCCAUGAUGUGCCUAAAUAGGACUUUCUUUGCAUUCAUCUUGGCUGGGGCUCACUGAACUUUCUGAAUCUGUAGAUUAAUUUUCUUUUUUCAAUAAACCUUGGAAU